rnacentral:lncRNA from 1 species
AUACAAUUGUCAUGCAACAAUCUGGUUUUCUAUCUUCCUCACCACGAAAUAGUUUCGUAGACGAAAGGUUGUCUAGUCUUGAGUGGGCCUAGUUCUUGAUGGUGAAUCCCUACUGGAUAGUUGACAUUGGAUGUAUACAACUCGGUAGAUAGGUCAUAGUUUUGAUAUUAUUUCGAAAGAUACAGAGAGGUUCUAUCCGAAAGUCUGUUGAGUUUUUUUAUCCGAGGGCCUCUUGAAGGGUUGUCCGAGGGAUUGUUCGAGUUUCUGUCCCAGAGCCUCCCGAAGGGCUAUGUGAGGGACCCUCCGAGGGAAUGUCUGAGGGAGUACAUCCUCCCGGUUGGGAGGUUCUAAAAUCAUAGCUAACGGGAUCUACACCAACAAUCUCCACCGACUCUCCUUCCAUUGCGCUACGAGUCGUUAAUGAUCAGAUCAAACCUUACAUGCAACUUCAUAGUGAUCAUGGGUAUGUACAUAGUAUGAUUUUUUUGUAUUAUGUUUCAUUACCCUACACGCUAAGGACAAUCCGGAACUCGUGGCGGUAGAGCUUGCAUUCAAGCCCUAUUGCUAUUCAAGGCAACUACUAUUAUUUAAGAAAAUUAGAAUAAAAGAGGUGGACCCCAACACCUCAUUUGUGAUAUUGAUCUAAUCCUUGCAUCUUCAUAGUGAUCCUAG